UGGGCGAGCUUUAUUGUCUGCGUGCUCCAGUUAUGGCACGCAUUGGGAAGGGGGCUGAGCGGUGUUGGACGCUCCCCCUUAAUUCCCGGGACGCUGGACCGGUGCCCCGAAAUUUAUAAUGACACCACGAAGAACAGCAGCAUUUCUGUGCCAGUGUACCACGUUGUAUCGGCCUCCAGUGACGACACGUUUCCAUUGUACCGGAUAUCUUACUUUUGGAUAUCACUCAUCGGAGUCGUUCUCACGGUCCUCCUGGGUACAUUGCUCAGCCUUGCAACAGGUGGCGUGCAGAAAGCGAGAAGGAAUUUAAACCUGACAAGCCCGGUAUUUUUAGGGCUCUGGUGUCAUGUCAAAUCGCUUCGUCGAGUGUUUCAACUCGAACAAUCGAUACAAGGAAACCCGACAACGCCAAACACAAACUGCGAAGACGAAGACACAAUUCAUGGACUUCAACUUCCACACUGGCACGAACAACAUGGACUCCUCAAACACAACGGUGAUGUCAUUCGUGAUUGCGCCACAUAACCAAGUGCGGCUUGUACGCAGGUUAAUUUGCGUAUAUGCUCUCUACAAAUUGAUAUCUGAAACUUUCUGGCUCUACAGGAGAGCCUCUUGUGA